CGCCUACGGAAACGGCUGCACCCAGCACCUGUGUCUUUACUACAGUCUUCUGCGCCCUCCAUUGUCCCUCCGUGGUGGUGGUGUGUGUUGGAGAUAAAAGAGUAAAUGGCACCAUCUCACCUUGGCAAGUCUGAUGGGCCUGGGGCCUGCAGGACAGCGCAUUUCCACCAGUGCACCUCCCACUGGAGCCCUUGAUGUUGCAGAAUUGCUGUUUGUAAGAAGCUUGUCCUGCGUCUGUCCGAUAUUUUUUCCGAUCCAUCCCUGCUUGACCUGAGCCUAAAACAGCGCCUGGCACAGAGCAGAUCUCCACCAAUACCGGGUAUGAAAGACCGGCUGGGCGCGCACAGGAGUCGGGGCGGGACUGCUGUGGGUGCAGGCAGGCGCUUCCUCCCUCAGCCAGCAGGGGGCUCUUCCACUCUCCAGAAUCCAGAAGAGGACGUGAGUACCUUCACAGUGUACCUGAAAUUCUGCCUCAUAAAACCGGUGGCCCUCCAAGGAUCUCGCCAGCUUGGUGUGAGAGGGGUAUGAGGCUUGCUGCUGGAAACUCUGAUUUUUCGUUCACUCACCAAGACGCGUUGUCAGAAGUAAAGCGGACGGCACCAGUGGGACAACAGCGCAGCAGGAAUGGAAGUGUGUGGAAGUGUGUCAGCCUCGUCAGUGAGUCAGCUGCCGGGGUGAAGUCGUUCUCUUCUCUUGUGUGUUUCUAGCCUUUGGAAGCAGAAGCACUUUUCUCUCCGUGUUUUCUGUCUUUGCAGAACAACUUCUACGUGAUAACUUGCCCGUCUAAUAAAUCUUAUUGGGAACACGUGAACUAUAUUGUUACACAUAACAUCUUCUUUUGGAAAGUAAGUUCCCCCCUCCCCAAAGUAAGACGGUUUUAAAGUUUGUAUUAAUUUAGCCAUUGCGAAAUCCCCACUGGGAGAAAUUGCUAGUGCGUUUGAAUGGGAGUAUUGUCCCUUGGCCAUUUCCUUUACAGUAGGUUCUGGCUGGAGUGCCAGUCUCACUGCCAAGACAAAAAGAACUAUAUAUUAGGGCUCAUGCUCUGCCAACACAAAGCAAAAGCUGGUCUGGCCACACUUCACCGUUGUCAGGAAGGCCUAGGUGUAGUCCAAAGGACGUUCAUGCACCUCCUAUUCUAUUUCUCAUGUCUGUUUCUGCACAAAUGGCCCUUAAUUUUAUGCCCAAGAAAAUUUGCCUCCCUCAUCAGGCAGUGGUUUCCUGGAAAAACUACAGUAGGCUUUUGUAAGUGAACCGGAGUAAAAGGAUUCCUGCAGAGGGGGAGAAGGAAAACCCAGGGGCUAGACAGAUACCUCUGCGGCUGCCUCGCGGGGUGAUUUUAACCAACAGAACUGCAAUGUUAUUUUCCAAAUAAGAUUUCUCAUUGCAAUCUUAUUUUCCAAACUGUAAACCAAUUUCAGCCCAGAUAUUUUUCUUUCUUUGUAGGAAAGAAAAUUGACGUGCUUGGUGUAGGCGGGGGAACUGAAUGUUGUCCCUGGUAGGGAUGAGGAAGCAGGUAGAGGUGUGUGAUGGUCUGGUGACCUGACUCAGCAGCUGUCGCUUCAAGGGGUUCCUGGAAAUGCAGAGCCUCACAUCAAAGUGGGAACAGAUAGAACGAUACUUGUAGUCCUUCGCGAAUGUCUGCCCCGUGUGGGCCGAGAUGCCUGCCAGUUAGUGUGUAUGGAUGACAGCAGCACCGACAAAAUGGGCAUGCUUUCUGUGCUCAGGGAGCUUAAGAAAAUGUGCAGAAGGGAUUCUGCAUGUGUGACCAAGGCUCGAGAUCAUUACCAAGGUCAUUAAGAUCAUUCCAUAAUACUAAGGGCUGCGACCCAGACUCGUCUAUCUCAGGAAACAGUAGGUCUCAAUUCCAUGUUUAAAAACUGAAAUUGGGCUGACACUUGGGUGUACUUCAUCUCUAGAAAGAGCACCACAAUAUAUCCAGAAAUAUUUGGCAACAUGCAGCCCUCUGGGUGAGAUCUAUGGGGGUUGGAGGGCAGGUCAGUGUAUUUUAAUAAGAAUUAAAUAGAAGCCCAUUCCUUUUCCUGGGUGUUUACUGAGCACCUGCUCUGUGUCAGCCCCAGUGCCAGGAUC